CAUUUUCUUCUAGUUACAAGUCUCUGUCAAAGGGAUGCUGCUGCUUGCAUAGGGUCAGGCUGGGUAGUCAGCCCGAUCUAUUGCCCUGCUAGCAGUAAAUAUGGACCAGCCUAUGUUUUCAAAGGGAAAAAGCUUAGCUAUUUCUAGAAAAUCCAUCAUAAAUUAGACAAGCUUCAUCUGAGUGUCUAUUGUAAAAUUCUAAAGAUAAAGAUCAUCUCACAAUUUCUCAGUGUUCGUUCUCCAUCCUAUUUAUUUUAGCAGGUAUGCUGCAUUUUACAGCACUUUGUGCAUCUAAAUUUUUUAUAGUCCCAGAUAGGUUAAUUA
rnacentral:lncRNA from 1 species